CGGAUCUACACUUCUUCGGGGGGUUCCCGGGAACCCGUUUGGUUUGUAAUUUAUAGCGUUAAGCUAUAUAUAAAAUUCUGAAGGAACCCCUUAAUAUUUUGUAGGGGAACCUCAUGAAUAAAUCUUUAGACUGGUGCAGUGGUAAUUGUGCGCGCUUUUUAAUAAGAGGUCACGAGUUCGAAACCCUUUAAACUCGUUUUCCCCUAUCUUUUUUGCGUUUUUUUUUUUAAAUUUAAAAAUAAAUUACAUCUAGGGUUUCAACUUUAGUUAGGUCUUGCUCCUUUCUUUAACACAACAGAAACUAAAAACACGCUCCACAGGACCACAGCCACCGUCUUCAGCCUUGUGCCCUUGUCUCCACUCUCCCUCCAGCCACCGUCGCAGCCGUGCCACAGCUCUCGCCGGACGCCGGAGUCAUUUCAGCCUCCACCUUACUAGACUCGUCGCUUCCCCGCCUCUCUCAGUUUUUUGACCGAUUUUGAUAUCUGGAGCCAAGUAGCAAUGGUCAGUAAUAUUCGGAUCCAUUUUCUUUCCAAAUUUUGAAGCAUCGAUCUUAACGUUUGACCUUCAAUGUAUUACCAUCUAGAGUUUGA